GCACAAGUUGUCACGCGCCUGGGUUUCCUUCUCCGGGUCACGAACUGGAGCACCCAGGAAAGGGGAAAAUGGACGACCAACAUGGUUCCCGGAAAUCCUCCAUUCCAGGGUAUGGGAAACUCCACAAUGAAAAGCGAAGUUGGGUGGUCUCGCCGUCCGUUAUAUUCUAUCACUUUGGUACCAGUGGGCUCUCUGUUGCGGUUGCCACCGGUGUCACCCAUCCUCUAGAUGUACUCAAGGUUAGGCUGCAAAUGCAACUUGUUGGCCAGAAAGGUCCUUUGACAGGAAUGGGAAAGUUAUUUGUUCAAGUAUUGAAGAAUGAAGGACCCAGGUCUAUGUAUCUAGGAUUGGCACCUUCAUUGACAAGGUCGGUUCUUUAUGGUGGUCUACGUUUAGGCUUGUAUGAACCCUCGAAGUAUGUUUGUGACUGGGCUUUCGGGUCCACCAAUAUCUUGGUUAAGAUUGCAUCUGGAGCAUUCUCUGGUGGCAUUGCAACUGCACUUACCAAUCCAGUUGAGGUUCUAAAGGUACGGUUACAAAUGAAUCCAAACUUGAGAAGAGGACCUAUUGGAGAAUUGCAAAGAAUUGUUUCUGAAGAGGGAAUUAGAGCUCUCUGGAAGGGGGUUGGCCCUGCUAUGGCCAGGGCGGCUGGUUUGACUGCAUCUCAGCUGGCAACAUAUGAUGAAUCCAAGCGGAUUUUGAUCAAGCAGACACCACUUGAAGAAGGAUUUCCUCUUCAUCUCAUCUCAAGUACAGUUGCAGGCACCGUGAGUACCCUCAUAACUGCACCCAUGGAUAUGAUUAAAACCCGUCUCAUGUUGCAACAAGAAUCUAAAGAAGUUGGGACCUACAAAAAUGGAUUUCAUUGUGCAUAUCAGGGGCAGGUCUGGACAUUUUGCUGAGAGAGAAUAUUGGAUGAGUGGUGAUAACUAGAAGUUGGCUUUUGUGAAUGGUCUGAUAGGCUAAAAAAUAUACUAUUGAAGUAGGACAUGACAACGUGUUGGUAGUUGAUUUCCCCGUUUUAGCUUAAGUGAGAUUUUUCUUAAGAUGGUAUUGUUGAAAUGUAGGCAUUUUCCAAAUUGUUUGAUGCACUAAACUAUAGGCUGCUUUGCUGCUCCACCUGCAAAUUCUGCACUGGCUUUCUGUUAUAUUUUGAGCUUGUAUUCUCAAUUUUUUAUUUUCUUUGUUUGCUUUAAUUUUAUACAUUUGCCUUUCUGUUGGCUCUUGCUACACUGAUAUUUGAAGAGUAAUGCUGGCGGAACAUUUCUCUCAUUUUUUUUCAUACAGCUUUAUCUUUCUUGCCUAAUGCGGUUGUGUGAAUUUCAGGUUUUGCUCACCGAAGGGCCUAGGGGCCUUUACAAGGGGGGCCUUGCCAUAUUUGCAAGAUUGUGUCCACAGACUACAAUUACGUUUAUACUUUGCGAA